UACGUAGGGUGCGAGCGUUGUCCGGAAUUAUUGGGCGUAAAGAGCUCGUAGGCGGCUUGUCGCGUCGGAUGUGAAAGCCCGGGGCUUAACUCCGGGUCUGCAUUCGAUACGGGCAGGCUAGAGUUCGGUAGGGGAGAUCGGAAUUCCUGGUGUAGCGGUGAAAUGCGCAGAUAUCAGGAGGAACACCGGUGGCGAAGGCGGCUUUCUGGACAGAUACCGACGCUGAGGCACGAAAGCUAGGGGAGCAAACAGG
rnacentral:rRNA from 1 species